CCUACGGGUGACAGCAGUGAGGAAUAUUGGUCAAUGGACGAGAGUCUGAACCAGCCAAGUAGCGUGAAGGAUGACUGCCCUAUGGGUUGUAAACUUCUUUUAUAUGGGAAUAAAAUGUUCCACGUGUGGGAUUUUGUAUGUACCAUAUGAAUAAGGAUCGGCUAACUCCGUGCCAGCAGCCGCGGUAAUACGGAGGAUCCGAGCGUUAUCCGGAUUUAUUGGGUUUAAAGGGAGCGUAGGUGGAUUGUUAAGUCAGUUGUGAAAGUUUGCGGCUCAACCGUAAAAUUGCAGUUGAAACUGGCAGUCUUGAGUACAGUAGAGGUAGGCGGAAUUCGUGGUGUAGCGGUGAAAUGCUUAGAUAUCACGAAGAACUCCGAUUGCGAAGGCAGUUCACUAGACUGCAACUGACACUGAGGCUCGAAAGUGUGGAUAUCAAACAGGAUUAGAUACCCCUGUAGUC
rnacentral:rRNA from 1 species